rnacentral:tRNA from 1 species
GUCCGAGUGGCUGAAGGAGCACGCCUGGAAAGUGUGUAUACGGCAACGUAUCGGGGGUUCGAAUCCCCCC